rnacentral:rRNA from 1 species
GUGAGGAAUAUUGGUCAAUGGGCGAGAGCCUGAACCAGCCAAGUCGCGUGAAGGAAGAAGGAUCUAUGGUUCGUAAACUUCUUUUGCAGGGGAAUAAAGUGCAGGACGUGUCCUGUUUUGUAUGUACCCUGAGAAUAAGGAUCGGCUAACUCCGUGCCAGCAGCCGCGGUAAUACGGAGGAUCCGAGCGUUAUCCGGAUUUAUUGGGUUUAAAGGGUGCGUAGGUGGUUUGAUAAGUCAGCGGUGAAAGUUUGCAGCUUAACUGUAAAAAUGCCGUUGAAACUGUCGGACUUGAGUGUAAAUGAGGUAGGCGGAAUGCGUGGUGUAGCGGUGAAAUGCAUAGAUAUCACGCAGAACUCCGAUUGCGAAGGCGGCUUACUAAGCUACAACUGACACUGAAGCACGAAAGCGUGGGGAUCAAACAGGAUUAGAUACCCUAGUAGUCC